CCUACGGGUGGCAGCAGUGGGGGAUAUUGCACAAUGGGGGGAACCCUGAUGCAGCGACGCCGCGUGGGUGAAGGAGCGUUUCGGCGCGUAAAGCCCUAUCGGCAGGGAAGCAGAUGACGGUACCUGGCCAAGAAGCCCCGGCUAACUACGGGCCAGCAGCCGCGGGAAGACUUGGGGCGCACGCGUUAGCCGGAUUUACUGGGGGUAAAGGGGGCGCAGAUGGUAAUGCAAGCCAGGAGUGAAAGCCCGGGGUCCAACCCCGGGAAUGCUGUUGAAACUGCAUGGCUGGAGUGCAGGAGGGGCAGGCGGAAUUCCUGGUGUAGCGGUGAAAUGCGUAGAUAUUAGGAGGAACACCGGUGGCGAAGGCGGCCUGCUGGACUGUGACUGACGUUGAGGCACGAAGGCGUGGGGAGCAAACAGGAUUAGAUACCCUUGUAGUC
rnacentral:rRNA from 1 species